AUGAAUGAAACUGGCUUGGCUCUCUCAGCCAAUCAAUCCACUGCUUACCUGAUUGCAACUGCCCAGGAGAGUUCAGGUUCUGUGACAACAAUCCACAAAUCCAAUGUUUAUCUCAGACCUUCCAAGUGUGAGCCUGUGAUGAGUCAAAUCUCAAGCCUCAUUUGGGAACCAGGUGUCCGAACACUAGUUCUCAGACUCUAGAGGACAUUGGAAGGACCUGGAGAGCUUGUUGAAACGCAGAUUGCUGGGCACACCUUCAGAAUUUCUGAUUCAAUGUGUCUUUGAUGGGCUGGAGAAUUUACAUUUCUAACACAUUCCCAAAUAAUGCUUGUAUUGCUGAAAACCACUGCAUCUUGAAAACCACUGCACUAGUGAAAAGACAACCAUCUUAGAGCAAGAUCAUUUCAGCUUGAGAACUCUUUCUGGUUUGGGUUUUUUUUUUUUUUUUUUUUCCUAAUUUCUGUAUUCUUAGGGGAAAUGGCAGGCCUUUCUGGCUUGAGGCUAGUGCUUUGUGAAGUGGCUAAUGAAAAGUGAUCUGCUUACCUCAAAGAGUUGUUUUAAAGAUUAAAUUACAUAGAGGAUAUGAAAGAGUCUUACAAAUGGAAAAAGCUCUAGAUGAGUAAAUGCUUAUUAGUGCUUUUGUUGUGAUUUGGGGACGGUGCCUUUUUAGCCUGAAUAUUCAACCAUCUACUUAUGGACCCACCUCCUCCUGGGCAGCUGACCAGGCUUUCUCUCCUCUCCCACAGCCUGGGCUGACUGC
rnacentral:lncRNA from 1 species